UACGAAGGGUGCAAGCGUUAAUCGGAAUUACUGGGCGUAAAGGGCUCGUAGGCGGCCAACUAAGUCAGACGUGAAAUCCCUCAGCUUAACUGGGGAACUGCGUCUGAUACUGGAUGGCUUGGAUUCGGGAGAGGAAUGCGGAAUUCCAGGUGUAGCGGUGAAAUGCGUAGAUAUCUGGAGGAACACCGGUGGCGAAGGCGGCAUUCUGGACCGAUAUUGACGCUGAGGAGCGAAAGCCAGGGGAGCAAACGGG
rnacentral:rRNA from 1 species